rnacentral:rRNA from 1 species
CCCUUAGAUGUCCUGGGCUGCACGCGCGCUACACUGACGAACUCAACGAGCUUAUCACCUUGGCAGAGAUGUCUGGGUAAUCUUUUGAAAGUUCGUCGUGCUGGGGAUAGAUGAUUGUAAUUAUUCGUCUUGAACGAGGAAUUCCUAGUAAGUGUGAGUCAUCAGCUCGCGCCGAUUACGUCCCUGCCCUUUGUACACACCGCCCGUCGCUCCUACCGAUUGAAUGGUCCGGUGAGGUUCUCGGAUUUUUUCUGUUGUUUGGUUCGCUAAACGAUUGAAGAGAGAAGUUACCCAAACCUUACCAUUUAGAGGAAGGAGAAGUCGUAACA